GCUUAAACCAAAACAUUAAAAUUAAGAAGCAUCAACAUUUCAUUAACCACGCAAAAUACUAUGAUAGAGUAGUAUCAUAUGGCAUCAAGCUAAAUUAGAGCACAAUUAAUUAUCCAUGUUAGUCAGCUAAUCACAUUAUCCUAAUACAUCCACUUCAAUUAAAAUGAAUUUCAUUGGCUGUCGCUGGAAUUACUAGCGCCAGAAGAUCUUCUUGCAUCAGUGGGUGAAACGGGUCCACUAGCUCUAUCACUUGGCUGCAGCAAAAAGUAAAAAAAAAAAAAUAUAACUAUUAGGAGUAUCAGCAAACAAGUCACAUUAAGAUGAAAUAUAUGUUAUCUAUUUAAACCAACAAAAUGAAAGCUUUUAUCAUAAACAAGUUAUUGGGAUGAAAGAUAUAUUUCAAUUAAACCCCAACAAACUACAUCCAUUAUCAACAGGCAGUUUAGUCAUAGUUGAAUCAACUAAACUCCCACCCCAUAGGAGAAAAAAUAUAGAAGCACCACUGUUUAUUGCCCUAUUCAUUUUAAUAUUUUCUGAUGAUAGAGUCCUACGGCUCUACCUAAGGGAGUGUUUAAGUAGUUAGACAAAAGCAAAUAGAUUAUCAAACAAUGCAACCACUUCCGCAUUCUAUCUUAUCUAGUUAUUCUUAGGAGCACCGUAGUACAUGCUCAAUUUGGUACUCAAAACAGAUUUAAUUAACAUGUAAUUAGCAAACAAGUCAUGCUUCCAAGAAUUAGCUCGAACUUUGCAUAGGGCAAUAAACAACUCACCAAGAAUUUCAAAGAACUCGACCUCUGAUUCAAGAAAUCACAAACACAAGAGGCUUAAGAGCUCUUCUCUUUCUAAGAAAGCUAAGCUUCAAAAUGAAAGUACAUCUUGGAAAGAAAACCGACCUUCCACUAGUAACAUGAAUGGCAUCAGUAGAGCAAAGGAUUCAGAUUGUCUUAUCCAGGAGAAGGACUUAACUAUAGUAGAUAUAAACACAUCAAACACCGAUAGAGAUAACGACACAAAGAUGAAAAAUGGGAAAGCAUCACAAUGUAGUAAAGCUGGCUGGCUGUAUAAAUAUGAAAACUGAGGAAGGAUAAGCAAUUAGCUCGAAAGAGAAAUUUGGGAAAGCUGGCCAAGAAGAUAUUUGGUGCAUUGGGAGAAAGAAAGAAAGGUGAGCUUAAGCAGAAAAAUUUACCCCUUAGCAUUUGCAAUUCCAGGCAUCAAUUAAGCCCGAAAGAGGAUAUGAAAUCCAAGAGCACUCUGUCACCUGAUGAGAACGUAAACGCUACUGCCAAUAAUAAGCCCAUUUCUCAAGUUGAAAGGACAUCGAUGUGGAAGUGCAACGAAUUCACAAUAUAAUAAACUAUCAAAUAAAAAAUAAAAUUGCACAAUAUACCAGAAAUAAGAGUACUUAGUGUUUACUGUUGUAGGAGGAGAACCAAAGAUCCCAUCAACUUAUUCUGGUAUCGACCCUUCCUUCAUUAACAUGUAUGCUUUGUGGGUAUUCAACAAUUGAUCAUACUUCUAUUGGCAUCCAGAAGAAGAACAUCCAGCAUUAUUACUCACAAUUCUAAUAUUACCAAGACGAAGAUAUGUCUGUCUGAAAGUAUUGCUUGGAGUAGUUCCUAAUCUCAAACAUCGAUGCUCUUUGCCUAGCACCUUAACAACAACAUCAUUUGGAGAAAUUUGAGACUCAUCCACUGUACUUUCACUCACUUCUAGCUCAAUUAUUUCCUAAACACAAUACCCAUAAUCAAAGAACUAUGAGCCAACAUUAUAUAUUGACCAUCUGGCAAAGUAAGGAAAUCAGAUACAUUUGCGCUUAAUUUUUUAAAUCUUCCACACAUCCUUAGAUCACCAAAUGAGCCAUGAUAAAUACACAAGUACCAGUAAUAAGUGCUGGUGGAGUAUAUAAAGAAUUACAAGAGGACCCUCAAAUGAAUUUCUUGUUGAUUGUUAAUCAGUGGUACAACGGCACGUGAUAGAAAAAACAAAUUUCAAACAAUAUCUAACCAAAAAAAAAAAAAGCUACACCAAAACUUUUAGAGAUCUUCAGAAAAGAAACAAUAACAAGAAAUUAUUAUUAUCGAAGAUUUUAUCAAUUCGAGACCAAUUGAAAUCCAAUAAUAUAAACUUUUAUAUCCUUCAAUCGAUCAACUACACUUCAAUUGGAGAUAAAUUGAAAUGAACUAUAUAAAGUUUCUAUAUCUACCUAACCCUAUUCGAGCAUAUAUCUCAUACUAAUAUAUCUCAUCCUCACGAUCACCAAUAUGAAUCAAUAAAAUUCCAAGCAUCUUUUUUGAACCCUCUAUCACGAGUAGUGUCAGCCCACUAGCAUUUGAAGAGCACAACCGUGAAUCGAUAGUAAUUAAGCUCAAUAAUAUCUUCUAACUUCCCAUAGUACGACAAGUUUACUUGCCUUGCACUUCUAUCAGCACUAGAUGCAACACAAGAGGUGUCAGGGAUAAGAAAAACUCCACUAUUUUGAGUUUUUAAUCCUUGAUCUCUAGACAAAACUCAAAAUUUGAAUCCAUUGAUGUUAUAAGCAGUGAACCUUCUAGCAUCUGGCGCUGGACCUCGUGCUAGGAACUUCAGAUCGGUAGAGAUAGUGUCUGCAAUUUAUGGGUUCAUAAUCUAACAAUAGCAAACUUAUUAUAGUGAAGCAUAUUAAAUCCAAGGAGAAUAGCUACGUAAAGCAAAUGUUAUUAUACCAUUCACUCACCCGCUUUGGGAGCCAAUCAGGAAACUCUCUAUUAACCCUCCUCUCUAAAUCUGAUGCUGAAGGUCUCCGCCCUCUUGUGCUCUUUCUUAUGUGAUCCCUAAACUCACUUCAAAUGAGCUAACUAUAUCAAUUUUAAUCAAUUUAACUCUAAACUUUUGCUGUUAUUCAUAUCAAUUUUGUUUACUUACUCAAUAAAUGGCUUCAUUGUUGCACAAUUAAAUAAGACAUAUCAAUGAGCUUGCGUCUUCAUUAAUGGAGUCAAGGGAAAUGUUGAGGAGCCUCCAACCGGUUUACCUUGUGGAGGGAAGAUAGAGGAUAUUUCAGAAGCGUCAUUAAGAUUUGGUUCAUCAUUUACACGUCUGGGCCUAUUCUGCCUUGACUCAAUCCCCUCAAAGUAACGAGAACAAAAAGUUAGAGCUUCUUCAACAAUGUAACCUUCAGCUAUGGAACCUUCUAGUUGUGCCUUAUUCCCUACGAGGGACUUAAAAUGACCUAACAGUCUAUAACAUGAAAUGAAACAGGUUUAGAACAAGCACUUAACUUGAAUUAAUAUAACCUAUAUCAAAAUUCCGAAUAAGAAAUAUUUUACCUUUCAAUAAAAUACAUCCACUUAACUUAACUUGUAUUGCUUCAUCUACUAGAUGGACAGUUAAAUGAACCAUUAUAGUAAGGAACAAUGGUGGGCAAAAUGCGAUCUUGUAACUUUUCUAGAUCCGCCAAACUCAAACUUUUAAGAAAAAGUUCUCUAAAAAAAGAAGAAAGCUCUACUAAGACUGCAACAUCCUCCUUUGGCAACACAUUGCGAAUUGCUAUUGGUAGCAAUUGUUCCAUAAUGAUGUGAUAUCCAAAGAUUCUCCUUUGGUCCGGAUCAAUGCAAUCCGAAAUAUUACUCGAAUAACCAUCCGACGCUGAAAUAUUCUUUAAAGUUGUGAGGAAGGCCACUUUAUUUUCCUUUGGAAUGGUAAACACAGCAAGCCGACAAUCAUUAUUCUCAUCAGGCCAAAGAUCACGCCUUAUACCCAUAUCUUGUAAAUCUUUUCGUGCCUUAGUAUUAUCUUUUGACUUGUCUUUAUCAUUAGGCAAUGAAUAUAUAAUAUUGUCAAACACAUUCUUUUCGAUGUGCAUGACAUCUAAAUUAUGGUGCAACGAGUUGAAUUCCCAAUAUGGAAGAUUAAAGAAUAUGCUUUUUUUCCUCCAUUGUUGUGCUGCACCUUGUCUAAUAUUUCUUUGUCUAAAUCUUUUCCUUCUUUAUUCAACUCAGAUGGUUUUCCAAAUGUAACAUCAAUAUCUUUCACUUAUUGCAAAAUAUCAGAUCCGGAUAACUUUCUUGGUGGAUUUAUUUCCUCCACAUUUCCAUCAAAGCGAUGCUUCAUCAAUCUAAAUUUAUGAUUUCUUGCUAAAAAUCUACGAUGACCAAUAAAGCACCACUUUCUACUAUGCCGAAGCUGAUAAGGUUCUGCAUCAAAAUUACAAGUGGGACAUGCUAAACCAAUAUGUGAGUUCCAGCCAAAUAAGAUAUCGAGUCCAGGAAAGUCAUUAAUUGUUCACAUAAGAGCUGCUCGUAAUCUAAACAUCUCUUUCUGUGAUGAAUCAAAGGUUUCGAUACCCUCACUCCACAACUCAUUUAACUCCUUAAUAUGGGAUUGUAGGUAAACAUCUAUGUUAUUUCCCACCGUACGUGAACCAGGAAUGAUCAUUGAGAGAAUAAUAUUUGGUUGUUUCAUACACUACCAAGGAGGAAGGUUGUAUGGAACUAAAACAACUGGCCAAAUGCUAUAAUUAGUACUCAUCGUGCCAAAAGGAUUGAAGUCACUAGCUAGACCUAGCCGAACAUUUCGAUGAUCAAAAGCAAAUUCAGGAAAAGUUGUAUCAAACCUCUUCCAUGCCUCACCAUCUCUAGGAUGACUCAUGAUUCCUUCUCUUUACCAUCUUCAGCAUGCCAUCUCAUAUGUUUUGCUAUUUUAGAGCACAUGGACAAUCUAUGCAACCUUGGUUUUAAUGGAAAGUAACGCAAAAUCUUUGCAGGCUUCUUAGUUUUCCUUUUGGUUUGCUUCUUACCUGUAGCAGACACAAGAUUUUCAUUUCUCUUCUUGUUAGGCUUCCACCUAGAAGUGUGAUAAUACUUACAUGUUUCCUCAUUAGUAUCAUUCCACCAAAAUAACAUACAAUCAUUUGGACAAGCAUCUAUCUUGAUAUAAUCAAGACAAAGCUUACUAAUGGUUUUCUUGGCCUCAUAAAAAGAAGCAGGGAUCCUUGCAAAUGUAAAUGUGUCCCUCAAAAAAUCUUGUAUUAUGGUCAUUUCCUUGUCACUUAGCCUAGACAAACACUUUAUGUGAUACAAUUUUAAUAAAAAUUCUAGUUUUGAGUACAUGGACCCUUAAUACAAUUCUUGACUUCCAUCUCUAAGCAACUCGAAAAAGUCUUUGUCAUUUGAAGCAGGCUCAUCAUUUAACCUUUUUUCACCACCCACUACUUGUGAUGGACCUACAUCAACCCCAUCGUGCGUUAGGCCCCCAAAUGCUUCAUUGAUCAGUAAUUCUACAGGAUUUUCAGGAGGUAAUGUAUUUUGUAUAACCUCAAUGUUUCUAGAAUUAGGCAACACGUUCCUUUCACCAUGAAUACUCCAAGUGACAUAAUUUUGAGGGAAUGGUUUGCAAAUCAAAUGAUCAAGCACUACAUCUCUAGUCUGCCACUUUGUGAAUCCACAACUUGGAAAAGGACAUUUUAUUCUAUCUCCCACAACAGCAUUAGCAAAUGCUAAAUCUAAAAAUUGAUUUAAACCAAGCAAAUGUUCAGUGGUGUUCCUUGGCUUUCUAAUCCAAAAUUUAUCCAUAGGAAAGUAUUAACCUUCAAGUGCAGCAGAUGAACCUUUAAGAAUAUAAAGAGAAAAUAUCAGUUUUCUUUUAUUAGAUAGAAAAUAUGAAUACAAAAUAUUAACUAUGAAGCAAUAAAUACAUACAGCAAAAAGCCAUCAAUAAUCAUAAACACUACAAAAAAUUGAGAAUUCCGAAACAGAGAAUGUAUUUGCAUAUAUAGUCAUAGUCACAUGUCCCAACAAUAAUUAGUAAAUUUCUAUAUCUAAAGUUAUUUGAGAACUAACGACUUACACAUUACUAAACAACUUGAAGGAACAAAAAAUACUUAAAAAUGAAUUGAAACAUACAAAAAUAUAUUUCUUACCUCCGAUAUCGACAGAAUUCCAAAACCUUCUACUAUAUUUUUUGAUAAAUCAGCCUCUCAGUCCUAUUUGAUCAAAACAACAACAAUUAUACUCGAAAUAGAAAAAUAUUUGACAAAUUAAAAAUUUACACAAAGUAGAAUUACAAAUACAGAAAACUUUUCAGUUUUUAUUUUUUAAACCAAACUUCCAUGAGACAAAAGUAAAAGUCAAUAAUUCUUACACCUUAAGUAAAAUGUUGUGCCUAUAAUCAAAUUCAAAAACCCAGAAAUAGAAGAAACCUGCCUGAACUAGAUUAUCCAUCAUGCAAUUUAAAUUAUCUAAAUUACUGAACCAAAACAAUAAAAUAAAAAAUAAAAAAAUAAACCCUAAACAGUAAAAGGAGAUGGCCAACUUUAAAGUAUUAUACCUAGACAAACAUGGUAAUAUUUAUGUCAAAACUCUAAACAAUAAAUGUGGUUUUAGAUUUUUGUAGGAUCAAUCAAAAGUAAAGAAAAAAAUGCAAACUGAUUGUAAGAAAAAGAAAUACUAGACUUCAAAUCCUUAGAACUUCAGCAAAGUUAACCCAUUUUUCAGUGAAGAACAAGCAAAAAAGUAAAACGUUUCUAGUGCAUAUAAAUUUUCGAAAAUUUUCACAACUAUUAAAAAUAAUACUUCCAUUAACAAUGAAGAAAGGAAAAAUCUGGUACAAAUCAAAAAGCAUCUAACAUAAGAAGUAGUAAUUGGGGAACAAGCAAUUGGUAGAAAAGUUAAACCUCCUGUUAAUCCCACAACCAACGUGAAUUGAUUUCAACUGGUAAAAAAUAUCUUGUUCCUAAAAUACCACAAUGGCUGAAAAAAUAUCUUGUUCAUCAAAUGGGUGAAAUGGUACCUGUAGAGAGAGAAUUUAACAAUAUAUAUAUUCAAAAUCAAAAUACCUGUAGAGAGAGAAUUUCAAUUUAAAGAGAUUGUGGUUUCCUGCAGAAAGAGAGAGAGAGAGAGAGAGUCUACUAGGCGGAAGUGUGAAAGGCAGAAGUUUCUAGACUGAAAAGGCUGGGGAAAAAAGUAGGGAGUGUGAAAU
rnacentral:lncRNA from 1 species